UUAUCAGACUUGUUACAAGGUUGUUCUAACACGUCUGAUACAGUCAUGAUAUAACAAUAAUGUUACAAGGUUGACGACACAAGGUUGUAACAAUAUUGUUAUAUCAUGACUGCAUCGAACUUGUUGGAACAACCUUGCAACAAGUCUGAUAA